AUUAUUUAUAAUUACAUUCCAAAAGUUGGCUCGCUUGGACAUGAUUUGAUGUUCAGGACUAGCACUGUACAGGUCAAUCUGGACUUCAGUUCUGAAGCAGACAUGAAACGGAAACUUCGUGCUAGUCUUGCUUUGCAGCCUAUAGCAACAG